UGGGGUGGUGGUGGAGGAGGAGACUUGUAAACGGGAGGAGGUGGUGGUGGAGACUUGUACUUGUAAGGGUGCUUGGGUGGUGAUGGCGGUGGAGGUGGUGGAGACUUGUACUUGUAAGGGUGCUUGGGUGGGGAUGGAGGUGGUGGUGGGGGAGACUUGUACUUGUAAGGAUGCUUUGGAGGUGAUGGUGGUGGUGGUGGUGGAGACUUGUACUUGUAAGGAUGCUUUGGAGGUGAUGGUGGUGGUGGUGGUGGAGACUUGUACUUAUAAGGAUGCUUUGGUGGUGAUGGUGGUGGAGGUGGUGGGGACUUGUACUUGUAAGGGUGCUUGGGUGGUGAUGGUGGUGGAGGUGGUGGAGACUUGUACUUGUAAGGGUGCUUGGGUGGUGAUGGCGGUGGAGGUGGUGGAGACUUAUACUUGUAAACUGGAGAUGGUGGGGGUGGAGACUUGUACUUGUAAGGGUGCUUGGGUGGUGAUGGUGGGGGUGGGGGUGGGGACUUGUACUUGUAGGGGUGUUUGGGUGGUGAUGGUGGUGGUGGUGGGGACUUGUACUUGUAAGGAUGCUUGGGUGGUGAUGGUGGUGGAGGUGGAGGAGACUUGUACUUGUAAGGAUGCUUGGGUGGUGAUGGUGGAGGAGGUGGUGGAGACUUAUACUUGUAAACAGGAGUUGGUGGGGGAGGAGAUUUGUACUUGUAAGGCUUCUUGUGUGGUGGUGGUGGUGGAGAGUAGACCGGAGGAGGCGGUGGUGGAGACUUGUAAUGGUAAGGUGGUGGUGGGUACUUCUUAGGUGGUGGUGGAGGAGAAGAAUAAGUGUAAUCUGCUGAGGUUUCAAAAGGCAAAUUGAGAGACACUGCUAAAACUAAAAGAGUGAGAAAGAGAGAGGUCAUGGAUGACCCCAUUUUCCCCAUCCUUACUUCUAAAAAUGGGUUUAAUUUGGUUAUGCUCUUAGCAGCCCUCUUCACUCCCUUUAUAUAGACUUUGUUUUAACCUUACAAUCAUGAUAAAAGUGUGAAGGUGGACCGAACCUUCAGCAGCAUUGAAAAAAGACGUUACGUUUAGGUUAUUAGCAUGGUAUGACAUAAUAAUUCUCUAUUCUCUUCCUUGUCGUUUCCCAUAAAUUUAAUUUAAAUAGUCCAUUUGCUAUAUUUAUAUUUCUGUUUCUCUAUUAAAUAUUUAUCAAAUUCAUUUCUCACUCCUUAUAGAAUAUGAAUAAUUAAUCAUUAAACUCGAUUUAGUAAAUACUUAAAAAAAUAAUUUAUCUUAUUUAUUAAGGCAUCAAAUCAUUAAUCCCAUUUGAUAUUAUGAAAAUUUAUCACUUAAUUGAUCAAAAUGUGAUUCUUGGCAGGAAAACAUAAUUUACUUUCCUUAAAAUGUAAUUUUUAUUGAGAGUUAAUAGAAAGUGAUUCUCUUUAUAAUUCGUGAAAAAAUUACUUUCACAUGUAAAUAAAAAUUGUUAGGAUAAAAUUAACUUUUCUUUUAUUUAUGUUUAGCUUACUAAUUAACUUAUUCAACUUUAAUAAAAGAUAAACAUAGUUGUAGCUUGUUUGUUGAUGUUAGUUUUUUGUCUUUACAACUUCAAACCAUUAUUCUAGUGUAAUUUUUUUUUCUUUCUAAAUAGUAGAUAAGUAUCUAUAUUUUAUUUUGCUAUAAGAAAUUAUAUUUUUUAGCAUACAAAACUUAAGAUAACUUGUAGAAUCAAGUAAUUGUAUGAAAAACAAGCCUAUUCACAUAUAAUACCUAUUACUCUAGCAAUAAUAAUAUUGACAUUGUCUACUUAAUUAAAAUUUCAAAUUAGUUCAUUGCCCAAUUUUCUCAUAAAAAAAUUUAUACAUAACAUGUCAACUUAACGAAACUUACAUGAAAUUUUGUAUGUGUUAAAAAUGAAAAAUAUGGCGGUUAUUAAAAAAGAUGUCAUACAUCUAAAUCAAACUACUAAUUUAAAAAUUAGUAUUGAGAUAAUUUCAAGCCAUAUAUGCAAUAUUUGAAUAUACUUGAACUUAUACAUACAAAUUAGUGAGGAUUAAAAUUUUGUAAAUUGUACAUCUUCACAAUCUUGCGUUAAUAUACAAUUUUUUUAAUGUAUUAAUAUAAUGUUUUAGAUCAAGACGUGAAAAAACAUAAUUCAAAUAUUUGUUAGUAGUAAAAAAUUAUUAAUAAUAAAAAUUAUUGAAAAAUAUUAAAUACGUUAAUAUUAUUUUUAUUUAAUAAUGAUAAUUUUGUACAGUAAUCUUAUAUUCCCAAAUAAGUGUUAAAUGUCUCAAGAUUUUAAUCAAUACUUUCCAGUGAUUACCAAACGUUGCGAAGUAACUUCUUAAACAAUAAUAUUCUUAUCAAUCACAUUCCAUUAAAAUUUUAACAUAGAAAAGCACCAAAACGCCCCCUUAAAAUUCAAAUAUUUAUUUUAUUAUUUAAAUAUAUUAAUUUUCUAAAAAAAAUCAUUAAUAUUUAUAUUUCUAAUUUUAAACAUUCGUUUGUUAAUUAAAUGAUAGUCUAAACGGUUAAACUCAAAUCGAAAGCAUUUUAUCUUAUAUUAGAUUAUAUGAAUCAUAUUAUGGUUGAAAGUAAAAUGUAUAAAAUCAAUACAAACAUCAAAUAUUAAACUUGCACUCAAUAGAUUUUAAAAUUUCUAAUUUUAUCACUAAUCUAUUUUAAGAUUUUUUUAAAAAAAAAUCGUACUUUAGAUUAUCUAAUUUAAAAUUUUAUAAAAUUAUUAAAAAAUAUUCUUGUAAUAAAAAAAAAUUGUUUUAAAAUUUUUAAUUUUUUAUAUAACCAAUGAAUUUUUUACAUUUGUUUUAACUGGUUAUCUAAACAAAAUAAAAACUUAUUUAGUUUAAAUAAAGUGGUAAAUGUGAAAGCACCACAAAUCACAACUACAUUAGUUUUAUAAUUGGAUUAAUUUAAUCACCGGCAGAGGAAAUGUGUUAGUUCUAGCUACCAACAAUUCAUUUUAAUUCCUUUAAAAAUAUUAGAAAAAUCCAAUUUGAUUUUUAAUAAUAGAUCUAAUUACUUAAAGGAACAUGGGUGAUGUGCACAUGGCAUACAAGCAUAAAAAAGAACAAAAAGAUUAAGUAUCUUUGCAAAAUAUCUCUCUCUGAAAUAAAUAAAACUUAAAAAAAAACAAUUUUAUUAUCAAAAUAAAAAGAAAAUAGUGUUUUUCUUCACAAAAAAGGAAAAGAAAAGAAAUACUAGUGUUUUUAAUUAAAAUAGAGUGAUCUGGGUAGAAUCUUUUACUUAAAUACUGACAUUGACUUUAUAAGCUAUUUUUUAUCAAAAGAAGAAAGAGAAAAGCAUCCGAUUGAAGAUGUGAAUUAUUAAGUUAAAAUUAAUCAUACAUGUAAAAUAUUAUUGUGCUUUUUUCUAGCCCUCCGAAAGACAUUAUGCUUUGAUUACAACAUUCUUCCUCAGAGAUCAGGUUUGAAGAUGAACUCGGAUGCAUUUAGAUUUUUACAAGACGAAAGUAAAUUAAAGGAUGUUAGUACUUGUAUUCCGAUACGCUUAUAAUACAGAAAGCAAGUAAUAUGUGACUGUACAUAAUGGCUAUGAGGCGAGGAUAUGAUACGAGAAGAUAGAAAUGAGAGAUUGCACUUGAGGGGUUAACACCUCUUUUCUUUUUGUGUUUGGUCCCCAAAGCAUAUCUCUUAUUGGCUGCUGUUGCAAGGCGGUCCCAUAAGUUGGGCUAAAAGUGCUUGAUAGCUAGAAUUAAUAUUGUGGUAUAACAUAUGUCACCCCUAUGUUUGAAUAAGGUUACAAAGUGACUUGAUGAAGAUUUAAAAAAGCAUGGAGAUAAUUUUGUUGCAAAAAUUAAAAGUAAGAGCUAAAUUUUUUGGCUUUAUUAGAGGAUAGACUUUGUUAGUCUAUUACCAUUUUGUUAUAUAGGCUGGAAUAUUAUUAGUAAGCAGUUAGCAGCAGUUAGUCAUUAGUCAUACAAGUAUAAAUUCUAUUCAUGUAUUGUUCAAAGAUAAGCUAAUAAUACCAGAAGAGAUUUAACGUGUUCAUUCUACUUUUUUUUGUUAUUCUUCAUAAUACAGUUGUUAACAUGGUCUCAGUCGCCAAAUUUCUUGGAGGUUGCUUCUAUUGUAGAUCCAUGGCCAAUUCCACUGAUUCUACCUCUGCUGGUCGUAGCAGUCCCUCAUUCUCGGUUCAUGUUUGGUUCAAUCGUUUCCUCGUCAUGACACUGUGAAGUUAGAUGAAGAAAAUUUUGUACAAUGGCAACAGCAUAUCCGAUUGAUAAUUGAAGGAUAUGAACUCAUAAGAUUUUUAGAAGGGACGUUACCUGCUCCGCCUCGCUUUGUGUCAUCUCCGGAUGGAAACCUAGCUCCGACUCCCGAUGCAUCCCUGUUUAUUCAGCAAGAUAAGUUACUCGCUUCUUGGUUCCUUUUUACGAUUAGUUCUCCUUUGUUAUCUUGUUUUACAACUACUAAGACGGUGUGUGAGGUUUGGAGCACUGCGAGUUGCCUCUUUGCUGCUGCCACUAGAGCCAAGCUUUCGCGUAUUAAGCAUGAACUCCACUCCAUCACGAAAGGCGUGAUGACUAUCAAACAGUAUAUUGCUAAGAUUCAAAAUACCUGUGCGUUACUCGAGGCAUCUAGAUCAGUGGUUCUGAAGGCCGAGAAGGUAGAGAUCAUUCUUGCCAGCCUAUCGUCUGAUUAUGAUGUCGUUUUAACUCUGGCAUCGUUCUCAACUGAAACUCUUUCGUUACAAAAGAUUGUUGAUGUGCUUCUGAAGUUCAAAAGCUAUCAAACUCGAGCGGUGAACGACGUGCCUUUUCAUGCUCUUUUGGUAGAGGCCACUCCGGUGACACCGGUGGAGGACUCCGUGUGUGGUGGUCGUCCUCCUUCUGGUGUUCGUAGGCGCGACUUUCGAUCUCGGCUUUAGUGCCAGAUCUAUGGUUGCUAUGGACAUUUGGUACAAUGCUCUUAUUAUUGGUUCAACUGCGACUACGGUGAUCUAUCUGUUUCGACCAUGGCACGGGUUUCGCCUGUUCAUGCUGAUUACAAUUAGCAUGACAAUGUUUUUGGCGCAAGUGGUCUCUCGACUAGCUGGUUUUCAUCAGCUUGUCCUGGUCCGGACCCGUUCGUGCCUGAACAGUAUGUCGAUUCUUCGGUGGUGACACCGGCGCAUUUCUCUUAUGGCUUCUCGUGGUGAGGGUGGCCACAUUUGUAAAACAAUGCCUUCCUUGUGCCAAGUUUGUUGAAUGUUAGGUUUCUAACCCUUUUGCUCCUAACUUUGACGAUGGGGCAGGCUAGGUGUUUGGGCUCGCUAUCGGACCAAGCUCAAAUUGUGGCCAAUUUGGUGGUCCUCACUUACCGCGGAAAAUGGGUCAGCGCGUUAGGCCAUUUGCUAGUGUUCCUAGGCCGACUGGUUCAGGCCAAGAUUUUGGGCCAUAUGGAAUUCGUAGGCCAACCAGUGCUGGUCCUAACAUUGGACAGGGUUCACUUGGGCCAAAUGUUAAUUUUGUUAGACUUGAGGGCUUUUUUGGGCAUGGGCAAGGACUUUGGCCCACCACUGGCAAUGUUUCAGUGCCAAAUAAUGGGUCAUGUGUUCCAUGGCGCACUAAACCGACGGCGCGCGUUAUUGAUUGAUUUCUCACUGUGCUUUGGGUUGCCUCACAUUCUUGAUUUUCAUGCGUUCGAUAUUUUUACUACCUCUGGGUCCAAUGCUAACACGACUCCGUAUGGGUUUAAUUUUGAUAAUGAUAACUCUUACAUUCCUAUGCCUGUAGGGACCUCGUCUUGGUGUCUUAAUUCAGGGGCUAUACAUCAUGUCUAUCGAGAAGCCUCUACCUUGAACGAGUCUAUGCCAUACUCAGAUACAUCUCCUCUCCUCAUGGAUGAUAGUACUCCUACAAAAAUAUCGUGUGUUGGAAACUCUAUCUUGCCUGCGAAGAUUAAGCUACUUCAUCUAUCUAAUGUUUUGUGUGUGCCAAAUAUACGGAAGAAUCUGCUAUCUGUUUCUUAUUUUGCUAAUGACAAUAAUGUGUUCUUUGAAUUUCACCCGUCUUAUUGAGGACAUCCAGACUCAGGAAAUUUUGCUUCGGGGCCACACUCGUGAUGGGCUCUAUUAUUUUUCAUCAGUUACUCAUGUUCCGUCUGUCAUUGUUCCUUCUGUUCACAACACUGGGCUCCAGAGUCGCAAUGCCGAUGAUGUUGUUUUUACGUUAUGGCACUGUAGACUUGGUCAUCCAUCUGCCUCGAUGGUUAAACUUGUUCUCGAUAAGUGUCAAGUUGUUUCAACUAAAAUGUGCCUUGAAAAUAUUUGUAUUAAUUGUCAAAAGGGGAAGUCCCAUAAACUGUCUUUUUCAAGUUCUACUACUAAAUAUACGGAUUUGUUUGAUUUGGUUGUCUCUGAAUUAUGUGGACUGGCAUCUGUUGUCUGUAGAAAUAAUCUGUAUCAUGUUUCGUUUAUCGACAUGUGUAGUCAUUUUACUUGGAUUUAUCUCAUUAAACGUAAGUCUAAAGAGGUUGAAUGUUUUCUUCAGUUUAAGAAAAUGGUCAAAACUCAGUUUGGGAAAUAUAUUAAAAAAAUUCAAAGUGAUUGGGGUGGUGAGUUUCUUGCCUUUACGUCAGUUUUGGCUAGUCAUGGGAUACUUCAUCGCCUCUCCUGUCCACAUACAUCCGAGUAGAACAAUGUAGCUGAACAAAAACAUCGACACAUUAUUGAGAUGAGUCUUAUUCUAUUGGCCAAAGCUAACCUGUCCAUGGAUUUCCGGGGUUUCAAGUUUUACAAUGCCAUUCAUCUCAUUAAUCGUCUACCGACCCUAGUUCUGAAAGGUCAGUCUCCAUAUCAGGUUCUUCAUGGUAGUGACCCUACAUAUGAUCAUUUACAGGUAUUUGAGUGUUGUUUUUCGUACCUGCGUCUGUUUCUGCAACACAAGUUGGAUUUUCGUUCUCAGCCAUGCACAUUUUUCAAGUACAGUUCUCAACAUAAAGGCUAUCACUGCCUCACACCAGAUGGUAAGGUCAUUGUCUCUCGUCAUGUUGUGUUUGAUGAACGUUGAUUUUUCUUUUCUUCAAAUGCUGUGAACAUCGUUCAGUUAAGUCCAUGUAUCUCUACAUAUGUUCCUAUUGUUCGGUCUUCAUCUUGUCGCUCCACGGCAUCUUCGCUUGUUCGACCCACUAAGUCAUCGACUCUUGCUCCUAAUUGUAGUUCCACGCUGUCUGUUUCAGUUGACACUCUGACUAAAUUAGAUUUUACUCAUGAGGUGCAUCGGCUCUCUACCUCAUCCCUUGAAUCUCGUCAAUGCGAUCCAAUUACAAUUCCAUUGGCUGUUCCAUCUAUUUCUAUGGGAAUACUCAUAACACUAUUACUCAGUCUAGGGCCAGUGUUUCUAAACCCAAAGCUCUAUCUGUUGAAAUUGUUCACUGUGACUCGUGCACGAUUGAAGAGGCGCUCGCUAGUAAGGAAUGGCAAUUAGUUGUCCAAGCUGAGUUUGUUACUAUAAUGGCUAACUCCACUUGGGAGCUUGUUCCCUUACCUCAUGGUCGAAAAGUGAUUGGGUGUAAGUGGCUUUUUAAAAUAAAAAAAUCCUGAUGGGACUAUCACUUGACGUAAGGCUCGAUUGGUAGCAAAGGGUUGUUCUCAGGUACUCGAGUGUGAUUUCAAGGAAACCUUUAGUUUGGUAGUUAAACCUGCUACUAUUAGAACCAUAUUAUCUGUUGCUAUCUCCAACGGUUGGCAAUUUGGUCAGGUAGAUGUGAACAAUGCUUUUUUAAAUGGUGAUCUCAUUGACGAAGUGUUCAUGCAACAACCUCUAGGCUAUGUUCAGAUUGGUCCAAAUGGUGAGCCCUUGGUGUAUUGUCUGACAAAGGCAUUGUACAGAUUACGACAAGCUCCACGUGCUUGGUGUGAUAAAUUGAAACAAUUUUUUUGUUUCUACCAGAUUUGCUUUAUCCAAAUCUGAUGCAUCCUUAUUUGUUCAAGUUACAUUUGAAUCCACUAUUUAUGUUUUAGUCUAUGUGGAUGAUACUAACGUUACUGGAAGUACGAUCGACGGUAUAAAUGGCUUUAUUCAACAGUUACAUAAUGAGUUUCCCUUAAAGAUAUGGGAGAUCUUUACUACUUCUUAAGCAUUGAAGUCACUCGGUAGUCUACUGGGAGUCUCCAUUUAUGCCAACGUAAAUACAUUUGGGAUCUGCUAGACAGUAGUUCUUUAGCUAAUGCAAAGAGUGUUCACACACCGAUGGUUAGUUCUUCUACCUUGUCUAAAGAUGUGGGAGAUCGCCUCGUUGAUCCUACUGAAUAUAGAAGUCUUGUCGGUGUAUUACAAUAUGUGGUCUUGACUCGGCCUGAUAUUGCUUAUGCUGUAAAUCGUGUUUGUCAAUUCAUGCAUGUGCCUACUACAAUACAUUUGGUGGCUUUGAAAAGAAUCUUGCGCUAUUUACGUGACACUAUUAAUCAUGGGUUAAUUUUUUGUUCGUUCGACAUAUUGUCUUUAGUUGGCUAUGCUAAUGCCAACUGGGGACUGGAUUUUGAUGAUCGUAAGUCAACAACAAGCUAUUGUGUGUAUUUUGGUCAUACACCCAUCUCUUGGUGAUCUAAGAAACAACAAGUUGUUUCUCGCACCAUGGCUGUGGCGAAGUAUUGAAGUCUAGCAACAACUACCAGUGAUGUUACUUGGUUAGUCUCUCUACUAACAAAAUUACAAAUUCGUUCUACAAAUCCACAGACUAUUUGGCGUGACAACUCUAGUGUAGUAGCGGUCUAGCACCAUGGCUGUGGCGAAGUAUCGAAGUCUAGCAACAACUACCAGUGAUGUUAUUUGGUUAGUCUCUCUACUAACAAAAUUACAAAUUCGUUCUACAGAUCCACAUACUAUUUGGCGUGACAACUCUAGUGUAGUAGCGGUCAUUGCUAAUCCGGUCUGACACUCUAAAUUUAAACAUGCCAAGCUUGAUAUAUUUUUUGUUCGCAAAAAGGUCGCUGAUGGUUCUCUCGUUGUCGGCGAGGUUCCAGCAUGUGAUCAAGUUGCUGACAUUCUCAAAAAACCACUGUCCGUCUCUACUUUUGCUAGGUUUCGUAGUCUGCUUCAAGUCUUACCUCUUGAGAAGCUGGGUGAAGCCAGGUGAAUAUUAGAGUAUAGACUCUGUUAGUCUGUAACUAUUUUGUUAUACAGGCUGGAAUAUUGUUAGUAAUCAGUUAGUCAUAGCAGUUAGUCAUACAAUUAUAAAUUCUAUUCAUGUAUUCUUCAAAGGUAAGCUAAUAAUACAAGAAGAGAUUUAACGUGCUCAUUCUACUUUCUUUGUUACUCUUCAUAAUACAGUUGUUAACAGGCUUGAUAUCAUCUCUCAGAGAGAACGAGGAGAGAUAAGAGUAAGAGUAUGAGCCAACUAGGGAUAAGGCUCUACCAUAAUACCUUGGAUGCAAUUAAAGUAAGAGUAAGAGCCAACUUGUUUGGCUUGAUAGUAUCCCCUUAUAGAAAAGGCUCUACCGCAUGGCAUGAGAGCAAUAAAAGUAACACUCAAUUUCUUGGGUUGAUAGCAUCUCCUUAGGGAAAAGGGUUUACCAUAUGACAUGAAAGCAAUUAAAGUAAGAGUAAGAACCAACUUGUUUGUCUUAAUAGCAUCGUUUAAGAGAAAGAUCCCAAUCAAUUUAUUCAAAUAUGUUAAUCAAAUAAUGCAAGUUACAAUGUUCUGCCAGUUUUUCCUUUAAUUGUAACUGGGUUAAAGUUGGUAGUUGUAACUGCUACUAAUAGAAUGGAUAUGGUAGAAAUGGUUGCAAGCAACAUAAGGAAAGAUGACUUUAAUGUCUUUGUAUUGACCACGUUGGAACUAUGGAAUGCGGAGAAUAGUAUGGUGAUUGGCAACAGAAUGCUACUAACCUUGAGGAUAGUAGACAGGGAUGGAUCCACGGGGGUUGGGGGCGGUCCCCUCUUAGAAUUUUUAAAAUUUUAAAUUUUAUAUAUAAAUUAUCAUGGAUUUUAGAUUUGGUGUCCACAUUGUAUAACAUUCACCCCCCUUUGUCAAAUUGCAUUUCAUAUCAUUCGCCCUUUUAAGCCAUAAGGUUAUACUUUAUAUUAACAAAGUAUUUUCCAUUUUUUAAUUAUAUAAAUUUAAUAAUAAUAAUAAUAAUAAUAAUAAUCAAAUAUUAAUAUAUGAUAGGCAUUGAAAGACGAAACAUAAAGGUCCAGUUGAGACUUUAAAGCCAAAUUCCAUAAUUAAUUAAUUGAUUUGGCCUAUACCAAUACAUAUUAGGUUAGCGACAUUCUUGUAUUUUGAUUUGUAUGUCUUGCUAAGGAAUUAUCUUCCUUUGGUAAGGUGUUCACACUUCCAAGAGAAAAAGAAAGGAUUUUGAUGUUGAGACUUUGAGCAUAGAGUAAAAAAAAUACAAAUUAUCUUCCUCUUAGCUCCUUACGGAAAAAACCUCUCGGUAAAUAUUUUUGCAUAAAUUAUGUUCUUUAUUAAUUUGACUUAUUUUUUCUUUUUUCCUAAUACAUUUUUGUUUAAUAUAUUCUUACAAUCAUCAGGUUUUUUGACUAAAUUAUGGUCAAUAAAAACAUUGAAUCUAUUUUAAAAAAAAGAGUGUCAGAAAGCAAUAAUGAUCAACCGGUUCCUCAACCUUCUAUUAUUAGUAAAGAAAAAUCAAAUAUCGGAUCUUCCGAAGCUCUUGAACAAAAUAUCAGGUCUUCUUAAGCCCAAGCUCCUAAAUGCGAUAUGGAGUCUUCCCCAACUCCUGAACGAGAUUGUAACAAUCCAUACCCAAUCCGAUCACCAAAUCCAAGUAGAGAGCGCCACAACUUAAACCAUAUGAAUUGAAUAAUAAGUAUUUGAAAUUUAUUAAAGUAUCGAGUUCUUGGUGUAACCCUCAGUAUAACAAUACGAAACAAUUAAGUCAAUGAUACGCCAGGAAAAAUGUUUUUAGGCAAAACACAUGGCGGAAACCUUACAAAAUUUUAUAAGUUUAUAUAAAAUGUAAGAUGAGUUAAUCCCAUACAACAGUUUCAAGUGCAUCGUUGGCGGUUAAAACAACAUUCAAAAACUAUUUGGCGUAUAUGCCAAUGAGACAAUCACGUGGAACAAGAUAUAGUAGCUUAAACACAUACAUCACUUACCAUGUCAUCAUAACAUAUACUAACCAUAUAAACAAACUUAUCGAGCUGCGAACUAACAAGUUCACCCAAACAUCUGGGGUUGGCGAUAACUUAUUAGAAGAGCCCGCCAAACCCUAGAGUUCGCCAAAACCUGGAGUUCGCCAAAUGGCGACUCCCAUAGAAUACGCCAAAUACAUAACCAAAAACAAAUACUCUACUAAUUUACUCAUUUUCUCUUCUUAGCAUAAACAAUUAUGCACCAAACAGUAACUUGAUACAUUAUCCUUGGGGCGAGUUGUUACAAUUCUCCCCCACUUAGAAACUUUUGUCCUCGAAAUUCUUACCGGUGAAUGACUGAGGAUAUUGUUCUUUCAUCGAACUCUCUCUUUCCCAAAUGGCUUCUUUUGUAUUGUGAUUUAUCCAUGAUACAUUAACCAAAGGAAUUCUUUUACUUUUCAACUCUUUUACUUCUCUUACUAAAAUACGAACAGGUUCUUCUUCAUAGGACAAGUUUUUCUCCACUUCCAAUGCUUUGACUUGUACCACAUAAUCUUGAUUGGAUUGAUAUUUUCUUAACAUGGACAUAUUAAACACAUUAUGUAUAUUUGAUAACUCUGGUGGCAACACCGGCCUGUAUGCCACUGGACCAACUUAUUCCAAAAUCUCAUAUGGUCCUAUGAAAUGCAGACUUAAUUUCCCUUUUUGUUCAAACCUUAUGAUCUUCUUCCAAAGAGAAAACUUCAUAAAUACAUUGUCACCCACUUAGAAAGAGAUUAUUUUCCUUUUUAGAUCAGCAUAAGCUUUCUGGCGAUCUUAAGUUACUUUCAGAUGAUUUCUAAUGAUAAAGACUUUCUCUUCUGUUUCUCAUACUAAAUCAGGACCAACUAUUUUCCUUUUACUGAGUUUCAUCCAACAGGUAAGAGAUCUGCACCUUCGUCCAUACAAAGCUUCAAAUGGUGACAUUCCCAGACUGUCGUAAUGACUAUUAUUAUACGCAAACUCUGGCAAAAGAAGAUAUUUUUCUCAGUUCAUUCUAAAAUCUAUAAUACAACUUCUAAACAUGUUUUCCAGAACUUGAAAUACUCUUUCAAAUUGCUCAUCGAAUUAGGGAUGAAAGGUAGUACUGAAUCAUAAUUUUGUUCCCAAUGAUUCUUGCAGUUGUCUCCAAAAUCUCAAUGUAAACAUUGGGUCUCGAUCUGAAACUAUGGAUGUUGGAAUCCCAUAAGGCAUACAACUUCAGAAACGUAGAGAUUAGCCAACUUUUCCAAUAAGUAAUUUGUGCGGACAAACAAGAAAUGGGCUAACUUAGUAAGUCGAUCUACAAUUAACCAGACUGAGUUCUUCUUCGAAAGGAUGAGAGGGAGAGCCAAAACAAAAUCCAUGGUGAUCUUAUCCCACUUCCACUUAGAUAUCUCUAAAAGGUACAACUUGCCUAAGGGAACCUGAUGUUCUAUUUUAAUCUGCUGACAUGUCAAACAAAUGGAAAUGUACUUUGUUAUUUCUUUCUUCAUUUCAAGUCAGCAAUACAUUUUAUGUAACGCUCUCAACUCGACUCGACAUGUCGAGUCUGGAUCUCGGGUAUUACUAUACAUAAUACUUGGUAAAAUAUCAAAAUAGUUGACAAAUACUCCUUACAGAAAUCAUUUUCUUAUUAUUUUAACCAAAAGACUAAAUAUUUAAUAACAAGAGAAAAUAUUAAAAAUAAAAUAAAUUAUUACAUCAGACUUGGUACAACUCAUUAUAGUAUAAAAUUUUGUUAAAGACAGACUCUUGGAGCAUAACCCUAAUCUAAGCCACUUUUCCACUAUAUGCAUAAUAACCUACUUCGCCGCUAUCUUGGCGUACUCCUAGCAUCGUCACUCCUAAUACAUUCUCUACUCAUACACCUGAAAACAACAACAUUUUAAGCUCAAGAGAACUUAGUGACUUUUAUCCCAAAAAUACCUUGGCGAGUACUUUAUAUUAUUUGAAGAACAUUUGUGCGCCAUCUAUCCUUCUGAACCACCUUCUUCUGAAUUAAGCGGAUACUAUUAUAGAUUCAACUUUCACUUACACGCCAACUAUCAUACUCUUAACACACUCACUUAUUCUAGAACAGUUGUUCACAUAUAUUAAUCACUAACUGAUACAUACAUAUUUGGCGAAUACUUACGCAGAUUUGAAUACCAUCAAACUACUAAUCAAAUCAUACCUUGAUUCGAUACCAUACAAACUCAUACUGAUAAUGUACUACACAAAUUAUUCAAAUGAAUUUUCCACUACUUUGUUACAGGACCCCAGAUAAUCAUCAUAACAAUAACUCAAUUUUCAUAUGAUUUCAGAAGAGGAUAUAAUACAACCCAAAUAUGGCGAAUUCCAGAUAACUCAGAUUCAACAACUGCUUAACACAUACGAACUCACAUUUAUAAUUUCUUAUGUCCCACAUAACUACGACUAUGUCUAUAUUCAACACUAACAAAUAAUCAUGACGGAUACCCUUCUUAUACAUAUAUGCAUUUCUUUUCUAGAAAUCUCUUAAGACUUACUCAAUUAUAUCACAGAUCUUAUUGAACCCUUAACUUCAGACAUAUCAUAACCCUAUCAUAUCAAUAUCUUUCACAAAAAAAAUCAGGAUUUAUCCAAAACUUACCAUAAAGGUAGAUAAUCAUAUUAUAUCAGACAAACUUGACUGAAUGCGCUACAAAGGCCAAACAAAAUAUGCCAUAAAGGCUUCAUACAAAAUCACAUGUUUACUAUCCCGACGGACUAUCAUAGAAGGUGUCAUGGGUUUCUCCCACAUUGACUUAUACAUAAUUCCAUGUAUUGUGAUCUGCCAUUUUGAAUCAUACACUAUCGAAGGAUACUCCAUAAGCAUACAUACAGACAUAUCUUGCCAUGGGUCUCAGCCACAUGGCUUAAACACACAUUCAUGUACUGUGAUAUGUCAAUCCAGUCUUACUCUUAUUAGAGCCUACACCAUGAGUGUUUUCAAAUCAUAUUAAGAUGUUGUGGGUCUCAACCUCAUAGUCUUACACUUGUUUUCAUAUCGUGACCUGCCAGUCUAGUUAGCAAUAUAAUUGCCCUACCAGAGGCUUCAUAUAGGAACAUUUGCUUAGCAUUCACUUACUUAGAUGAUCAUCUUUUUCCUAGCUCAUACAUCUCCUACAUCAGACCUUACCUGCAUGCUUACCAAACAUUAUUCUUUUUAACAGAACUUUAUACAUAUCAUCGUAGCACAUCUUUCAUAUUUACUAAACUCAUAUUUUUACCAAUUUCUGUAGACAUCAUCAUCAUCCUAUAUAUAUAUGCUUCUUGUUUGAACAGUUCAUAUCAAAGAGCCAGGAUAGAGACCCACUUGACACUCACCUACUGCAAUUCAAAGCUCUAGACUCAACCAUCCUUCUCAAACCAGCAGUAAAAACCACUUAUAGAACAUAGAAUCACCAUUAAAACCCAUUUACAUACAAAUUACUAUCAUCUUAAUCACUUUUCCACUGUUAAUUUAUAAAUAAGUGUUAAGUAGUAAAUAAAUAAAUAAAUUAACUAAGUUUUCAAAAAAAAAGUCACCGUGACGAGAAGAAUGUUAAUAUUAAUUUUGUUAACUCAUAUGUUUUUCUAAAAAUAGGUUAGGUUUUCUUCUGAAAUAAACAAAUGUAUUAAAAUGAUUGUUUUAUAAACUCCGAUCGUACUAGCCCAUCUUGGUGGCUGAUGUAAUAUCCCAAAUUCGGGUCUAACAUCUAAGUCGGGUUGGAUAGGUUACAAUAUAUAUAGAAGGAUUGAUAAAUAAUGCAAACUUCAAUACAGGCAAAGAAAGAAAUCAAUCAAUGUGAAUGACUAACAAGUUUAAAAUCAUAUAUUUUCAUUAUAUUUUGUAAAGCACAAGAUUGUCAUGGAAUUAGACAAUUUGUUUUGAUAAUGGUUAUAUUUUAUAUAUAUUUACUUUUAUGCACUUUCAUAUUAAGUUGAUCAAAAGUUUUGAAACUUUAUAGAAAAUUUGAAUGAAAGAGCAUAUUGAUAUAUAUGCUAUCUUGAGUGUUGAACUAAACAUUCUUUAGUAAAAGAGUGUACAUUUCGCACAUGGUAGGUGUGUUGGUUUCUUAUAUAUUAAUUAAGCACAAAUUAAAGAAAAAUAAUAUAUAUCACCAUAGUGUCGUAAUAUUUUGUAUAAUUUGUGAAAUUAUACAAGCAAAUAAGUUUACCUAUCUUGUUAAAUAAAACUUAUAGAGUUAGUUCUUAAUCUUGAAGAAUUAAAGUGGUUGGCUUCUUUAUUCAUUUUAUCCAACUACAAGUUAGAUUAAAAUUGUGGAAAUAGAAUGGUUGAAAAUUUGUGUUAAUGAGAAUUAGAGUUAUGGCCACCACUGAUGCCAACUAUUUCCUAAAAACAGGGAAUGAUGUCCAAAAACAUAUGGUAAAAUAAAAAUUUGGACAUGUUAGAAUAUGAAUUUAUUAUAUUAUAGAUUCAAUGUAACACCCCUAUCCCAUCUCUGUUGCCGAAUUAGGGUUUCGGAGUAUUACUAAGAAAAAUAGAACAUUUAACUUUCCAUCAGAAACAAUUGUACAAUUGAAUCUAAUCAUGGCAAAUAUUACACUUUUGGACCUUGAAUCGAGCCUAUGGGGCCCUAGAAACAGUUUAGGAACAAUCUGGGAUCAAAUCAAAACAAAUCAGAACAUUUUGAAAAAACAUAAAAAUUUAGGAAUACAGAGGUCACAGGCCGUAUGGCCAAGUCAUGUGACAUAGCCUAGAUCGUGUAAACAUUCUAAGUCAGGACACACAGCUGUGUCCCAGCCUAUGUGUCUACUCAUGUGUAUAUUUGAAAUAGGGUCACACAGUCGUGUUGCAGACUGCCAAACCGUGUGUGUAUUCAAAGUUAGGUCACACGACCAUGUGGCCGAUCGUGCCACAAACUGUUUUGAGACACAAGGUCGUGUCUCAGACCGUGUAAAACAUGCACUUAAAAUAAUAAAUACACACGACUGUAUCUGUUGACUAUGUGUGGCACAUGGUCAUGUGGUAGCCUAUGUCUCAGGUCGUGUGCUCCAUUGUUAACCCCUAAAUCAAACCAGUCAAGCAUGAUUUCUUACACAACAAGACAUACCAUAUCUAACUAAUUUUACAUGGUUAAAAACACUUUCAAAUCACCGAAUACAUGCCAAAAUUUCGUUCAUCCUAUGUCUAACCAAUAUGCCAUCAAAAGGCACCUCAAUCCGUACAUUCAUUCAACUCAAGAACAAAGUUACAAUAAAUGAACAAGUUUUAUCAUUAGUUAACCAUUCAUGCCUAAAACCACUAAUCUAAUUGACCAAAAUAUGAGCAUACUCAACAAGCAACCAUUUCAAAACAUCAUCACCAAAUCUUUAUAUACCAUUUAGGAUCAACUUAAUUUUAUUCAACACAAGUACACAUCCAAAAUCAAGCACAUCACUAAGUAUGCCAAAAUAACUUAACUAUUUACAUAUCAACAAUAAGACACCAUAUCCCAAAAUGAAAUACAAAAGCUACCAAGAUGGAUGGAUAGUGUGUGCUCCAAAACAAUUCAUUCGGUUAGUCCACAAAACGCCAAAUCAACCAAUAUAGAUAAACAAAAAGAUAAGUUCUAAUUCUUGCUAUUCAAAUGCAAGAUCACACCACAUUAGUAUAUAUUCAUUUACAUCAUAAAUGAUACCUUCCAAGAGUCAUAACCAAUUCAUCAUCCACAAUUUCUCAAUACAACCAUUAAUAUUUAUAAACAAGAACUUCAUAGCAACAUUUAUCAUUUAGUAGUAAUAUAAUUAUCCAACAAAAUUGAACAAAUAAAUGAGUUUUAAGUCAUUUGAUACAUAGCCUGCUGAACUAUAGUAACUUGACUCGGAUACUCAUGAUACUACAUCACACCAAAGGUCUCAAUGAUGCAUAACAGAGGCACCGAAGUGCAGACAAAUGCACGAAUGUGCAAUCAGAGGCACCGAAGUGCAAAUAGAUGCACCAAAGUACAAACUCAUGAUACCUUCCUAAUUGUUUACUACGUUCAACCGGGCAUUAUACUUAAAAUCAUAAUAUCAAUAAAUCCAUCAUUUAGAGGCACUUCUUAUUUCCGUACACAUUCUAUAAAUAUGUAACUUUAAUUUCAAUAAUAUGCAAUAACAAUAAUUACCAUCACCAAACAUUCAUUUUCUAUUUGUACUUAAUUGCAAAAUUUAAUAAUAUAUAAGUAACUCAUGAAAUUUCACAUAUAUACCAUUAACUAGAAAACAAUAAUAUAAUCAUAAAGUGACACACAUAUACAUAUUAUUACACUAUGAACUUACCUACAAUCCACUUUCGAUUAAUACACAGGGGCUACUCCGCUAUUUUUUCCCUUUCCUCGGUUAUUGUCUUUUUGACUCGGUUCUUGAUCUAUAUAGUAAUUAAAUUCAAUUUAUUAAAUUCACAUACAUUUAAAACUCAAUUCAAUGCAUGAUACCCUUAUGUUUUCAUUAUUUUCACAUUUUUCUUAAACUUUUACAUUUCUCACAAUUUAGUCCCUACAAAAUUUAACAAAAUUUUACAAUUUUCCAUGCUAGUUGAACUUAUUUCUAAACUAGUAAAAUCCCUAAUUAUUCACAAUUCACAAAAUUUCUAUGCAAAUUUUAAUAAUUCACACAUUGAUCAUUAAACUCAAAAUUAACACAAAUUUUUUUACAAAAAUAUCCUAAUCAACAUUCAAAUAUAUAAAACUACCAUUAAAAAUUAUGAACACCAAAAUCCCAUUACUAACCAAUCCCUAAAACUUUAACAUUUUUAUAAUUUCAUCCUCGGGUUUAAUAGUUUAAGUUACAACGAGUUCAAAAACGUAAAAAUUUUUAAAAACAGGUAAGAGAAACACUUACAUGCACCAAUUUGCUAACCGAAACUUCAAGCUCCAAAAAUGGAGUUUUUUUUUCUUUUUCGGUGGGAGAGAGUUGAGAAGAUGAUGAUACCAUUUUUUUCUUUUGUUUCUUUUCUUUAAUCAAACUAAUUACUAAAUUAACCUUUUAAUCUGAACUAAAUUAUUAACAUAGCAUGUCCAUAAUUAUCCAUUAACUAACCAUAAGGUUUAUCUAUCAAUCAAGUACAUUUAACUAAUAGAAGCCACUUUAGCAUCUUUUACAAUUUAGUCCUUUUUACUAAAUUAACUAACUAGACAAUUAAAAUUUCUUAGCCAAAUUUUAUUAUGACUCCAAUAUAACUCUAUAAGCAUAAAAUAAACAUAAAAUACUAACUCACUUGUCGAAAUUGUGGUCCCGAAACCACCGUUUUUGAUACCACUGAAAAAUGAGAUAUUACAUUCAAUCUCUAAUUUAUGAUAAUGAAUGUGAGAGAAUAAUUUUCUUUUUUUAGUAAUACUAAUCAUUUUCUUUGUUUAGUAAUACUACAACUAGAAUGUGUUUUGACCCUAUUAUUAGAAACUAAUCAUGGAAACCCAACUUUUAAUUAGAAACCUCUAAUUUUAAAGUUUAAUAGGUAACACCCCGAAUUUUGGGCCUAGAAAAAAUUGUUUUUAACAAUGGAACAGUUAGGAGACUGCACAUAAAUAUUUAGUUGUGCAAGGAAGUGACAUAAAUGAAUGUCUGCUUCAGUGGUUGAGUGAUUUAGGAGUGUUUGGAAGUGUCUGAGAAGUCAGGGAUUCAAGCAUUGGUUUAUGCAAAAUUUUUAUUUUAAGUGAAUAAAAUCUUUAGAUCUAGAUAGUAAGUUCUUAAAUUAUUGUGGUUAAAAUAUGAUACAAAGGAGUUGUUGGUCUAGUGGUAAGGGGUGUGUGGAGUGUACAUGGGGCCUAAGGUUCGAGUGGUGGCGCAUCAAAAAGGAAAUAUUUAUUUUGCUACUUGAGUUGUUUAGGUAGUGGAGUUGGACUAAAACACAACUAAUGGGAGUUUGAAUAGAAUUUGAAUGGAGUUGUUGAGGGAGUUGAGGAGAAACUGGUAGAAUAAUUUAAGGAGGGAUAAGCGGAGAGAUUUUAGGAGAAAAUCAAGGGAAGUGAGGGGAGUGAAGAAGUGUGCCGAAAGUGGACUUUGAUACUCAGGAAAUUUGGCCAGAGGGGUUACUGCUCAUUUUGGUAUACUUUUCAUUUUGGUUUUGUGUAGUGUUUCUUUCUCUUUUUGCUUUUUGGUGCCGAAUUUUUGCUAAGAUUUCGAGUACCACUCGGGUUUUUCUUUUGCUGCUUUUUUCUUUUAUCUUUUCUUUUGUUUUGGCCGAAUAGCUUUUUAGUUCCCCCCUUUGUCGAAUUCUUUUCUCUUUUCUCUCUUCUUUUUGUUGCUUCUUUUCGUUUCUCUAUUUUUCCAAACCUUGACCGAACAAUGUUGAAGUAGUUUCGUGUUGCAUCUUUCGACUGAAUUGCUCUUCUUCCUCUACUCCUUUUGAUCAACUGUUUGUCGAAUAUUGCCUUCUCUCCCUUUUUAUCUCUUCAAAUUUAUUUUCGGCUUGACAAUAAUUCUCUGACAGCUCAAAUUUCUCGAUGAGUGAAAGAGUAUCGCAUAAUAUUAAAGUCAUCGAAACCUUUCUCUCAUCACCCUAUCAAAGGUAAGUAUGUAAGCUAGCAUUCUAAAGUGUAGGCUGAGUGCUUUUUAUGGUUUUGUAAGUUGUCAUGUGUGGAUUUAAACCACAUGAAUAAACAAUCCUGUUUAAUAAAAUCCGUUUGUAAUGCAGAUAUCUGUCAAAGAGAUUGUAGUCAACCUUCGUCAGUGAUAUAAGUAGGCUAAGUCACAUUUGACAAUCGAGGUUCUAGUGCUCGUGGAUCUUAGAGUGUUUUCACAAUCAGGUGUGUAAACACCCCAGUGUAACCGUAGAACGGCAAAAAGCUGAAAAGCCAAAAAUACGACGUUUGAGACCACACAGGCGUGCGAUCUCUCGUGUGGUAAGCCCAACCCGUGAAUCAUGGGCGAUAGACUGUAGAGGCCUCUAUGAACAUUUCCAUGGGCUUGGGCAGUAAUGGGCCACGUUGGGCCGAAAUGGGUCGUGUGGGCUCAAUGGGCUCGUGGGCCCCACACAGAUGAGAACCACGAUUUGUGAAAAAUACUGGACUGGGCUAUGUAGAUCUCAUAGCCGUGGCAAAAUCUGGAUUGAAUAGGCCGUACAAGCGUGUGGGCCCACUUGGGCCGAGUAAUGGAGCUUGGGUCCAUUUGCACCAUUAUGACCAUUUAGGUUACUUGAGUCGCUAGAGGGGACUACAAACCUUUCGAGAGGUAGAUAUCUGCACCGAGGCCCAAAAUAGGUAAAAUGAUCGAAAUACCCCUAUAGAGUAAAAUGACUGAAAUACCUUCAUAGGAUAAAAUGACCGAAAUACACCUAUAGGGUAAAACGACCGAAAUACCCCCAUAGGGUAAAAUAACUGUUAUACCCCUAGGAGAUGAAAUGACUGUUAUGGCCUUAUGUUAUGUAUGACUGUUUUGCUCUAUGAUAUGUAUGACUAUGAUUGAGCAUGACAUUUUGCAUACACGUAUGAUAUUAUGUCACGAUAUAUUGCAUGGGGAUAGGUUGUUAUAUUUGGAGGAAGUGUACUGUACUGAUAAGGUUGCACGGGUCGCCCAAGACGACUGUGGACCUACUGAUGGCUAUAUGUCGUUUAUUUUACUGGCAACUUUGUUGCAAUACUGUUUAGUGCUGCAACUGGUGCUAAUCUUGGUGUGUCUGGCUGGAUGGGUCGAUUUUAUCCCCCACAUGGUGUGUUUGGCGGAACAGAGUGGUGUGUAGAGGCUGGAUUGGGUAGGAUUUCUAACUGCAUAUCUACACUGAUUAAUGAUUUUGUAUUGUUACUACAUCGAUUAAUGAUAUUACAUAAUGUUUACUGCAUAACUGAUAUUUGUUGCUGUUAUGGGCCAAGGCUCCACUAAUACUAUUACUGAAAUUGGGAAAAGGCCCUACUGAUUAUUGGUAUUGUGAUGGGCUCAAGCCCAAUUGUUUAAUGUUACGGGAAAGGGCUUAGGCCCACACUGAACUGGACUGUUACGAUAACAGGCUCAGGCCCAAACUGCAUUUAUCUACUGUUUAAUUGACUGCUUGCUUGUUAGGGGAUUACACACUGAGUUUUCGUAAACUCACCCCUUUGUUUAACUGUACAGGUAAUCCCUAAUUGUAGGCGGGUCAGUGCUGCGAGGGACUCGAUGAUGGCCACACAACCGCAUCAGCUUUUGUUUUUAGCCUUUGAUUUAUAAGUAACUGAAUUUGGGUAUUUUUAUGUAAAAAGGCAUCUUUAAAGUUAUAAACUUUAAAUUGGGGUUUUUAUUUAUUUAGUUUGAUAUAAACUAUUAGUUGUAGAAAAAGACGGGUUUUCAAAAGGUAAAUGUUUUCAAAGUUUCAAAAGGUAAAUGUUUUCAAAGACACCACGUUUUCGCAAUAUUUCUAAAAAAAAACUUCCGCAAUGAAUGAGAUUUUGGAAAAUUUAUAACGUUUUAAAAGUGAUUAGCUUUUAAUGAUGCAUGCUUGGAAAUGAACAACCCGUUUUGGAAUCAUAGUUUAACAGCAAAAUGAUUAAUUGAUUUUAAAGAUUUCAACGACAACAAGUUUUACGCUAAACACCUCAAUGUGACACCGCCAGAUUCGGCCAUAACUCUUAGGCCGGGUUUGGGGUGUUACAAUGUGUUUCAACCCUAUUAUUAGAAACUGAUAAUGGAAACCCAACUUUUAAUUAGAAACCUCUAAUUUUAAAGUUCAAUAGGUAAAAGCAAGUUACCGUUAAGUGUCUGUGAUACGCUAGUAAAACUCAUUCUAGAAAAAAAAGUUUAAUGGAAACUAUUGUUAUCCAUUGCGUAUAGAGGAUGAAUUUGAAUACUAUUAAUGAAGUUAAUUGUUUAUUGUUUAAAUGUCUAAAGCAAGGGAGACAUUAAAAGAACUCUACCUAUAUAAACAUAAGAAGUGGUGCCGCUUCAACAAGUAAAGGUAGGGUCUCUCUUGUAAAUGUUUAUUAUGAACAAGAUAAGCACAUAAUCAUUUUAGUGUUAAAAGUGAACAACCUCUGAUAGAAAUAUAAACGGAUAUUAUGUGUAGUGUAUUUCAACAUCUAAUACUAGGAGUUGUGGUUCAAUCUUCAGACACCGACAACUUAUUAGAACUUUGAAAAGCACCCGCUUAUUGAUGGUUCAUAUUGAGAGGUAUCAUCUUUUAUGCAUAAUAUUUGUUUGAGUGAAUGACCAUAAAGUAUUGUACCAACAUUUAAACUAAUUAAGGGUGAUUGUUAGUAGUUUAUAAUGUUGGCAGUAAAAAUAUUUUAUUAUGUAGAAAAGUCUAAUAAAUUAUAAUUAUUGGUCAAAUAGUUGUGUUGUAAAGACAAUUUUUGUAUGUAAAGUUGUCUUAUAAACUUUAUGUAAAGUUGUGUUGUAAAACAACAAAAUAAUAUGAAAAUGCAUCUUAUUAAAAGAUACAUCCAUAUGAAAGGGUUUCUCAUGAAAAAAUACACCUAUUAGAUGUCUAUAUAAAAGAUUUUUCUGUUAGUUAUUUAAAUUGUUUUGCUUGGAGUGUUGAGGGCAUUGUUGUAUCUUAAAGGUAUUUUAAAAUCUUAAAGAAAGUGCUCUACACACCUUAAAGUCAUUAUAUUUUAUAACAUUAUUUUAUUUUUCUAACUUUUAUUUUCCUAUUAUUUAUUUUUCUAACAGCUAGAAUAUAGGCAAAUUAUUAUGUUUCUAGCUAUAUAUUGAAUACAAGUACUACUUGGAAGCCAACACCCACAAACAUGAUAAAAGUUAAUUUUGAUGAGAGUUUUGACAUGGAAGCAAGAAAUGAGGAAGAGGGUAGUUAUGCAGCAUUGUGAUGGUUUUUUAGUCUGACUAUGCAACCAUCCAAUUUAGGGUGCAUUCUCCAUUGUGGUGAAAAAGCACUUAAAGAACAUUUGGUUUUUGCACUUAAAAUGUGAUGGAAAAAUGUUUUUCCACCCAAAUACAAAAACUAGGAUAUAAAUGUUUUUGACUUUUAGCUUUUACGUUUGGAAGUGAAAAUUAUCAAAAUAUUAUUAUUUAUAUUAACUAUUUAAAAGGUAUGGAAAAAUUAGAUUAAUUUAUAUUUUAUAUAUCAUUAUAUUAAAUUAUUUAAAUAUUAUUUAUUAUUAUAUCUUUUAAUAAUUUAUAUAUCAUCUAUUUUACAAAUAAUUUAUAUUAAUUACUUAAAAAAUAUUUGAAACUUAUAUUUCAUGUAUCAUUAUAUCAAAUUAUUUAAAUAUCACAUAAUUUAACUAAUUUUUUACUUUCCACUAUCAUGUCUAAAGAAAAGGAUAUUUUAACUUUUAACAGGAAUUUUUUGUAGCAACGGAGAACACCAAAAACUAAUAAACACACUUUUUCAUAGCACUUUUCAACCGCAACCGUAAUGGAGAAUUAAUCCUUACUAAAGUUAAUUACCGAAGCAGUAGCUUCCACCGUAGCCAUUGAAAUGGCGCUCCAAUUGGGAUUGCAACACAUUAUUAUUAAAGGAGAUGCUCUCCAAGUGGUUUGGGAGUUGAAGGAAGACAAAGGAGACCUACCAACAAUCGGACCUUGAUAGCAAAGAGUUGAACACUUGCUAAACAGGUUCAGCAAUGUAGGUUUCAACACAGGAAGAGGCAUGCUAAUGAGGUGGCACAUCAUCUGACCAAACAGGGCCUUAAUUGUUUUCCAUCUUUUGUUCAUAUGUUUGUUUUGAAAAGGUAAAACAAAUCCUCACCUAUUGAUGUUAGAACGGUUGAAUUGCUAAAAGCAUGCUGCAUGCAUAACCAUGCUUUAGGUUAGGCUUCAAAUUAAAUAAAUUUUAAAUUAUUUUUAUUUAAAUUUAAUUAUAAAAAUAUAUUAAUAUCAAUACAAAAUUAUAUAAAAUUUUAAGAUAUUUUAUUUUUCAAUAAUAAAACGAAUCAUUUACCAAGCCUAAUUCUUCAAUUUCUUUUUAAUUAGAUCACAACUCAAGCCAAGCUAACCAAUAAACACCCAAAAUCUACCAUCAUUUUCAUUUUCAUUUUUUUUUCUUUUGUGACAAAGUAGACAGAAGAUUCGGUUUGGAUAAGCUCUACGUUAUUAAGUCAAAAGCUGAAGUGAUUUUAAUCAUAAAUUGUUUUAUUUGUCUAUAAUGCAAAACAAUGACCCAGUUAGUACAAUAAAGCUUUAACUUUGUGGAACUUUUCAGUCCAAAAAAAAAAAAAAGAAUUGUGGAAAUUUUAGAGCAGUUGACCAGUUCUCACUUCUUGUCCAUAUUCCAUGUAUAUUAUUUCAAGAAAUUAGGUUUAGAAAUUUGCAUAAUUCAACCAUUGAACUAAUAAAUAUUAAACAAAAAUUGGGUGGCAAAAAAAAUCUUAUUAAAAUCAUAUACUAUUACUAAAAUUUAUGAUUAAAUUAGUGUCACGAGUUAACGGGACAUUAACUUGAUUAAGUAAUUUAUAAAAAUGUCUUUUAGUGUUUAAAAUAAAUUAUAUUAUUUGAGGGUAUUUUAAUCUUUUUAUUAAAAAAAGAUGAUGUCUCAAAUUAACUCACAAUCUAAUCUAAUUUUUCAUUUUAAUAUUGUAAAUAUUUCAUGUUUUAUUAUUAAUUUGUUUCAAAUUAUACAUUUCAUUAUUUAUUUUAUGUUAUUUGUAAACACAUCUGUGUUCUAAGUACCAAAUUUUCACUUAUGGGUAUCAGAGGCGAAUCUAGGGAGGCUGAUAGGGGUCUCGGUCCCCUUAAAAUAGAAAAUUAUUAUUUAAGCCCUUUAGAAAAUUUUAAAAUUUUAAAUUAGUAAAUGUAAAAUUACACUUUGACCCCUCUAAAAUUAUAAAAUUUGAUUUAAUCCUUUAAAAAUUAUAAAGAUAUAAACUAUUAAAAAUUAAAAUUUCAUUUCGGCCCUACCUAAAAAAAUUUUUUGACUUCACCCCUAAAGUAUGAUAGAGUUUCUAGUAUGAAUAAUUUUCUUUGGAAGUGUUAAACAAACAAAGGAGUUAAGUAAACAGUAGUUUUCAUACAGAAAUAUUGGGCGUUGAUGUUUCCCUUUCGAAUAAUUAAACUAAGACUUAGGAAAAGGGAAAAAAUGAAAAAGAAACUAAAAUUGAGCUUAAUUUAUGGAGUUGGGUUCAAAUUUUAAUAUUUAAAUAUAAAAAUUCUAAUAAUUCGAUCUGGUCCGUUUCAUCUAGCAGACUAAUAAUAAAUCUUAAAACCAAAACUAAUACACUUGACCUACAUCUACAUGUGAUCUAUGCUUCAUUUAAAUUAGUCUAAAUUAGACGAGAUCUUGAUUAGGAGUCAUUUAUUUAUAUUAUAAGUCCCUGAAACAUGCAAAACUUACAUUUAAAAAUUAAUAUUUUUACGUUGUUGUUAGAAUAUAGGGUUUGUUAAUGUUUUCGUGUGAAGUCAGCUGUUGACAUUACCAACCAGAUAAUGAAAAGGAAACAUGGCAAUUAUUCCAUCCUAAUUGUCACCAAAUUAAGUUAAUCCAAAAAUUACCAAACGUUUAGUACUUCAAUGGUAGAGUCAGCUCUUUCUUCUAGUCUAUCAAGAAAAAGUCAAUUUAACCCCUAACUCUUGGAUGGAAAAGUUUUUGCUAUGAACUUGUUGAAGUGAAUCUCAUGUGAUAUAAACGCAUCACAAUCUCCGUGUGUAAUUAAAAAUAAUUGAGAGAAUUUACUCCCUCCACUAACAAAUAACUCUUGCCAACGUAUGUAUGAAAGUAAACACCUUUCAUUAAUCAACAAAUGCUAAAGUUCGAGGUUUACAAUUAAUUAAAUACCAAUACAAAUAGUUAAUUACUUUUUUGAAAUAAGGAUAAAUCAGUUUGUGAGGUUUGAUAAUUGUUCCCAUACCGAGGUUUGAAUUUUUUUUUUAUCUUACGUUCUGACUUUAGAGUUUGAAGGGUUUUUUUUUAUCCAAAUUAAGCUAUGAACUUAGUAAUUUUUCUCUCAUUAAGGCUUAAACUUUUUAUUUAUCUAAAUUAAUUCUUAAAAUGUGGGAAUAAUUGUCAAGUUAAAAAAAUUCAGAUUUCAAUAUGAGAAUAAUCUACUAGUUCGUAACGUUAAUAUAAAAACAAUUGUUAAGUUGAAAACUUAAUUUAAAAACAAAUUCAAACCCUUGUUAAGUUUACGAUUUAACCCUUUGAAAUAUUGAGAGUAAGAAUUAUUUUGUGUUAAUGGUUAAAUAAAUAUUUAAGUGGAGAUCAAGUUUUACCUCAUUUGUCAAUUGUCAGGUGAAGAAUGUAUACCCCUAAAGGCCUAUCAAAAACGGACCUAUCUCUAUCUAUACAUCUUAACUAAUUUACUAUUCAUUCUUAAUGAAAAUCAAUAAAUCAAUGAAAACGUUAUAAAAAGAAAACUACGUGAAUAAAUUAUAUGUGUAAAAUUGAAAUAUUUCUUAUUUUAGUACAAUGGUAAGGAACAUUACAUUUUUAAGGAAAUGAUGUCAGGUUCGAAUCUUAAAGAUAAUAUUCUUCGUCUUGAGAAGAACAAUCCCAAACUCCAAACAUGAACCCUCAUGAAGUAUAUAAAAAAAUUUUGAAAUAUUUCUAUAAAAUAUCAUUAAAGUUUUUUAUUUAAAAAAUGUUAUGGGUAUACUUUUACCUCUUAUAAAAAAAGUCUUUCAUUUCUCAAUUCUUAUGGCAUAGUAAAUUUAUCAUUAAUUUUCAUCUUUAGGUAAAAAAAAUGGUUACUAUUUGUGUAUUAAAUAAUUGUUAGGAUAAAUUUUAAAAUUGUACAUGAGUUUUGGUUUAAUGUUAAUUGUAUACAUUAAUUUUGAUUUUAUGUAAUUUUAUAAAUGAAAUUUUAAUUUGAUCCAAUUCUAACAAAUUACUAACACAAUUAUUGAUAUAACAUCAUUUUAUGUUUAUAUGCUAUAUACAGAAAUAAUUAUGUUUAUUCAAUAUAAAAAUAAAUUGAUGUAUUUAUUUCUUUAAACGUAUAUGAUUGAAUCAAAAUUAAAACAUCAUGUAUAUAUUUAAACCGCAAUUAAAAUUUUACAUAUAAAAUUACACAAAAUUACAAUUUAUAUACGUAGAAAACUAAUAAUUUUAAGAUUUAUGUCCACAAUUAUCUAAAGCUAAACGGUGAUGAUUACCAUGGAAAUUCAAUGUACUUAACUAAUUGGUUGAUAGGAACAGGCAUGAUGAAAUCCAUGAUGGGAAGAGAGAGAAUUCAAAAACUGGAAUGCCCCAUUAAUCCAUGCAAAUAAACUUUUUCGGUAUACAUCAUAAUUCAUUUAAUUUUAUCAUCAUCUCUAUGCUAUAACUAUGUUUAAAGUAAAAUACUUCUAUAAAUUAUGACAUCCAUAUAUCCAUAUUAUAUUUUUUUAUAUUACGAAUGCAGUUUUUUUUAAAAAUGAUUUAUGAAAAAUUAGAGCUGGCAGAUAAAAAAUGGCUUAAUGGAAAAUAUUUCUUAUAAAUUGAUUUAUCCUUUUAAAAAAGUAUAAAUAUCUUUUUUAAAUUCAUUUAUGAGUAAUUUUAUUAUUAUAAAAAUUAAUUUUGCAAAGUCUAAUAUUAUUAUAUUAAUAAUUUUAUUUUAAAACUAUUUAAAAAUACUAAUAUCAAAUAUUAUAAUGUUGAAUCCUAGUAACAUACAUAUUAAAUUAUUUAAAUUAUGUAAUAUUGCAAUUUUAUUUUAAUACUAAAUUUUAACAACGAUAAUUUUAAAUUUUAGAUCAUAUUUUUAAUAUAUUAUUGAAAAAUAUUUAUAUAAUAAAUAUAUAUAUUAAAAUUUAUAAAUAUUUAAUAAUAAAUGUUUUAUAGUAUAAAAUAUGAAUAUUUUAAUUAUAUAGAUAUGAGCAUUUGUUUAAAUCAUGCUUAGUUUCAUUUAUCUCCCAACUAUAAUGUGUUAUUAUACACUGUCAUAUAUAUAAUAUAUGUAAUUUAAGCAUUGUUUAUUAUUAAAUUUAUAUAUGAUAUUAAUUAUUAUAAAAUAUUAUCUUAUUAUAAAAGAAAUUCUAAUUAUCAAAAAGAAAUGUUACUCUAAUAUUUUGUAACAAGUAUAUUUAUGUUGUGCUUGUUUCACUAAUAACAACUUUAAAAUGAUUUUAGAAAAAAAAAUUCAAAUAAUAAAAAAAUAUUUUAAGCAAAAUAAUUCAAACACAAAAAACUAUCAACUUUUCCAUAAAAUCAAUCCAAUUUUAAGAAAACAUUUUUGUGAAAAUUGUUUUAGGUAAAACAAAAGGAGCCUAUAUUUUAUAUAGUAUUUGAAAAGUUGUUGUAUCUAGAAUUAUUAUCUUAAAUUUUUUGUUAGGUCUAAUUCUAAAUUUCAUCCCUUUAUGAAAAUUGAGAAGUUAAUUUUUCUAUUUUACUUUAUCAAUCCGUGCUUGAUUGUUUAUUAAUUUGUUGUGUAUAAAUGGUUAAAUUAUUGAUUUUUGUUAAUUACUAGCAUGUAAAUUGUCAAACUACUUGUUCUCAAGGGAACGGUAAAGUUUAAUAGUAUUAUCAAUUUAGAAUAAUUUUUGAGUUUUUUCUUUUAUUUUUCAUCUUCGAGUCCAUAAUUACUCCUUCUAAUAAUGUCGUUUUUAAAGUUUGAGUUCGAAUUCAAAUUCUCUUUUUGGAAGUACAAUAUGCCUUAUAAUUAUACUUAAUACUUUUGAUUUUUGUAAAAUAUAAGAAUCAAAAUUGUGUAGUAGGAUUAAUUUCUAGAUUUUUUAAAUAUCAAUCACAUCACACACAAAACCAAAGAACAAGAGAAUCUAAAAAACACGUGGACCAUUAAUUUAGGAAUGGACAUUAUAUUUUAUUAGUGGCAUAAACUCAUGCAAAAUGGUUGGAAAACACAUACAGGAUUAUAUAUACUAAUCAUUUUUAUUAUUAAGCCAGAAUUGGAAAUAAAUAAAUACGAGCGAAACCACUGAAUAAUACAGCAUUGAAAUGCAAUUUGUCUACAUCAUUAUUGUUCUUCACUUCAAACGCGGAGACUAGUCUAGGCUCCCAAUCUUUUGCUUUAUCUCUCUAGAUAUAUCCUUUUCAAACUAUCUUUUUGUAGCUUUAUUUGCAUCACAGCAUUAUCUUUUCCUGCAAACAACUGUUCAAUGAUUAAAACAUGCAAAACAUUCUGAAAUAAUGCACCCUGACCAGAUGACAAAAAAAAAAAAAAGAUUCUAAUGUAUCUUACCUUGGAUUGGAGCACGGUCAAAGCCGUGGCUUAGUAGUGGUGAGGAGGAGGGGGUGAAGCGUAGACAUAAUGGGGUGGUGGUGGUGGAGGAGACUUGUAUUUGUAAACUGGAGGAGGAGGUGGUGGAGACUUGUACUUGUAAGGGUGCUUGGGGGGUGAUGGUGGGGGUGGUGGGGGUGACUUGUACUUGUAGGGGUGCUUGGGUGGUGACGGUGGGGGUGGGGACUUGUACUUGUAAGGGUGCUUGGGUGGUGACGGUGGUGGUGGUGGGGGGGACUUGUACUUGUAGGGAUGCUUUGGUGGGGAUGGUGGUGGUGGUGGUGGGGACUUGUACUUGUAGGGAUGCUUAGGUGGUGAUGGUGGUGGUGGUGGAGACUUGUAUUUGUAAGGAUGCUUUGGUGGUGAUGGUGGUGGAGGUGGUGGGGACUUGUACUUGUAAGGGUGCUUGGGUGGUGAUGGAGGUGGAGGUGGUGGAGACUUAUACUUGUAAACUGGAGGUGGUGGGGGUGGAGACUUGUACUUGUAAGGGUGCUUGGGUGGUGACGGAGGUGGAGGUGGUGGAGACUUAUACUUGUAAACUGGAGGUGGUGGGGGUGGAGACUUGUACUUGUAAGGGUGCUUGGGUGGUGAUGGUGGGGGUGGGGGUGGCGACUUGUACUUGUAGGGGUGUUUAGGUGGUGAUGGUGGUGGUGGUGGGGACUUGUACUUGUAAGGAUGCUUGGGUGGUGAUGGUGGUGGAGGUGGAGGAGACUUGUACUUGUAAGGAUGCUUGGGUGGUGAUGGUGGUGGAGGUGGUGGAGACUUAUACUUGUAAACAGGAGUUGGUGGGGGAGGAGAUUUGUACUUGUAAGGUUUCUUGUGUGGUGGUGGUGGUGGAGAGUAGACCGGAGGAGGCGGUGGGGGAGACUUGUAAUGGUAGGGUGGUAGUGGGUUCUUCUUAG
rnacentral:lncRNA from 1 species